UACGUAGGCAGCGAGCGUUGUUCGGAAUUACUGGGCGUAAAGAGUGUGUAGGCGGUGUUCCCAGUCUGUUGUGAAAUCUCCCGGCUUAACUGGGAGGGUGCAGCGGAAACUAGAAUGCUAGAGGGUGGGAGAGGUAAGCGGAAUUCCAGGUGGAGUGGUGAAAUGCGUAGAGAUCUGGAAGAACACCAAAGGCGAAGGCAGCAUCCUGGGAAGUUCCUGACGCUAGGGUGCUAAAGCCAGGGGAGCGAACGGG
rnacentral:rRNA from 1 species